UCUCCGACUUUCCAAUUCCUCCAGUGUGCAAGGUUUUGUCUUGUACACCUCUUUUGUGUAACCCCACAGGUAAAAAUCACAUGGAGUGAGAUUUGGACUUCUUGGAGUUCUGAAGUUCUGUGGUCACAGUCUUCAGGUUUUAGUUCCUGCAUGUAAUGGAGUUUCCACAGACAAAAAUUCAGUUCUUUAGGUAAUACUGUACGUAUUGUGUCGUGUUAGUCUACUUUCAUGAGCUGCUUGACGUGUUGAUUUUUUGCAGGCUACAAUUAAGCAUUUCCUGCACUGUUGCCACAUUCUUUGCUGAUCAGGAUGUGGUUGGACGGCCACUUCUUCUUGCAUUGUUCA